rnacentral:snRNA from 1 species
AGGUUUGAGGGCUACCUGGCUGUGACAACUCUCAGCCCACUGAUCACCAGGGUUGAUUCAGCUGAUCUGGCUGGCUAGGCAGGUGUCCUCUUCCUCCCUCACCACUCCAUGUGUGUCCCUCUUAAAGCUGUGCACUUGAAGAGUGACCACCUUUAAUAGAGGACCGGGGCUGGGGAUUUAGCUCAGUGGUUCCAGCGCCUGCCUUGCAAGCACAAGGUCCCGAGUUUAAUCCCUGGUUCAAAAAAAAAAAAAAAAAGAAAUAGAGGAGGGCCAUUUCCUCCAUCAAGGGUAUAAGAGUAGCUGAGCUCCCCUGCUAGAACCUCCGAACAAGUUCUCACAAGUUUGAGUCCAGCCUGAGCAACUCAGCAAGCCCCUAUCUCAAAAAUAAUAACAAAAUUUU